rnacentral:misc_RNA from 1 species
AUACAAUACUGGAACCAGUGGUUGAAGUUGCAGAUUCUUGUACUGUGGCUGUGGAUGAUGCAGAGAUAAAUGAUGAUAUGAGAACAGAGACUUUGGUAGAAAAGUUGGACGUGAAUAGCAGUGAAAAUGUUGGUUCUUGUUCUAUUGGUUAUAGAGAAGUUGUGAUUGAGCCAGGUAGAAGCCAACUUGGCUCUGUAUCAGUUACAAGAUG